rnacentral:tRNA from 2 species
GGUUUCGUGGUCUAGUCGGUUAUGGCAUCUGCUUAACACGCAGAACGUCCCCAGUUCGAUCCUG